rnacentral:rRNA from 1 species
UAUAAAUACUUAUUAUAAAUCAUUAAUAAAAUACUUGUUAUUAAUAUAAGAAAUCUUAUAAUACACUUUUUAAAUAUAGUAUUAGAAAAUCUAAAUAUUAAAAAGUAAAUAUAU